UUAGCAAUUCCUAUAGUUGGGAUAGUGACAUAAACCUGGGUCAAGCAUCUGGGUAAUUUGUGACAUACUGCUGGACCCAGCACCCAGGUCAUUUGACUCUCCUGCCUUGGCCCUUCCCACAGAGGGCAUUGUGACAUUGAGUGGGCUCAGCAGCCAGCCCUGCUUGCAGGUGGUAUUGUGACAUAUAACUGGGUCCAGUUCAUAGGCAUGCUGAUGACUAUCA
rnacentral:lncRNA from 1 species